rnacentral:lncRNA from 1 species
UAUCAGAGCAAUUAAGAGCAAGUAAAGAGAGAGUCUAGGAUGGACCUAGGAGACCUAGGUUGGCAACCCUAAGGUGAUAAGUAUGUGAGAGAAACGUAAACCUAUAUCGGUUGAGGAAGAAUCCGAUUAGGUCGGAUCGAGUAUAGAUCUCUAGUGUGGCUAGAGAUAGAUCCGAGCGGUGUUAGUUCCGAGCUCGAGGAGUUUGUGUUGGCGGUCGACAACACGACGCUAAAAGUUAGGACUAAUACAAUGGUGUACGUCCGCUUAUGGCGGAGUUGAGUCGCGUAAUAUAGUGUAUCCGACGGAGUUAAGUGGGUUAGAUGACUAACCGGGUUGUUGCGUUGCA